GAGAGGCCCUCCCUAGCUCUCCCCCCAUCCCAGCUCCCUGCUGGUCCUGGUGUUUAAAACAGUUUUCUUGCAGUGGAAAAUUCUGAGACCAUUUUUCUACUUGCAACAUCGGCAGACUUGUUUGCCUGUGGAAUCUUUCUGCUUGGUAAAAACAUCUUCUUUGAGGGCUCCAGCCUGCCUGGGCAGUCAGGGGCUGCCCCCCUCCCUGGAAUGGCACUGUACUUUCACCAGGAGAGGAGUGCACAUCUUGCUGGGAUUAGUGCUGAGAUUCAGGCAGCAUGAAAAGUUCAGGACUGAUGCCAAUAGCGAGGAGCAGCUGAGAACAGUCUGAUGCAACCAGAGUGAAGGGUGGUCUCCUGUUGUUGACGUCGGCGAACUCAAUGGGAAGAAUGAUGAUGUCUAACUUUAUUUUAGAAGGCUAAAUGAUUGCUUUAUUAUAAUUAUGUUAUAAUACAUUAAUAUGCUAUAUAAAAGAGGAUACUAAA